GACGAACGCUGGCGGCGUGCUUAACACAUGCAAGUCGAACGGAAAGGCCCUGCGUGUGUGGGGUUCUCGAGGGGCGAACGGGGGAGGAACACGUGAGUAACCUGCCCUUCACUUUGGGAUAACUUCAGGAAACUGGGGCUAAUACCGGAUAGCAUCUGCUGCACCAUGGUGGGCGUUGGAAAGUUUCGGCGGUUGGGGAUGGACUCGCGGCUUAUCAGCUUGUUGGUGGGGUAGUGGCUUACCCAGGCUGUGACGGGUAGCCGGCCUGGGAGGGUGAACGGCCACAUUGGGACUGAGAUACGGAGCAGACGCCUACGGGAGGCAGUAGUGGGGAAUAUUGCACAAUGGGAGGAAGCCUGAUGCGGAAACGCCGCGUGCGGGAUGACGGUCUGCGGGGUGUAAACAGCUUUCGGCUGUGACGAAGCGUGAGUGACGGUAAUGGGUAAAGAAGCACCGGCUAACUACGUG
rnacentral:rRNA from 1 species